UAGAAGGUAAUUCUUUGAACUCACUUUUCCCUCUGAGACUGACAUUAAGUUAUGAAAAGUUGUGUUUUAUCGGUAUUUUUGGCAGCAGCAACGGUCUUUCUGCUCGUCCCUUUUUCAAUUUCAACUAACUCCACCAUAACCGAUUGAUAACUAGCAACAAAAAUAUAUUAAAGUUAGAAUAACAUUGAUUGAUUUGUUAAUAUGAGAUUACAUUGAAAUUAUUACAAUUUUGUUCAAGGUCAUAUGGAAAUUGCUCGUGCAGUAGGCUAGGAAGGUAAAGUUUAAUGUAGGAACUCAUGUAGUCCUCAUGCUUGGUACAUAAUGCAGUAAAUGGCAUUGCCUGAAAACUCUUGAUGAUUUGGAUCCGAUUAUCUUUCAUCUUUCACAAAUUGUAAGUAUGAUUAACUAAUCUUUGAUCAACCUAGGAGCUGUGUCCAAUUGCUUCAACUUUUGUAUAUACAAUAAUCUGUCAUUUGAUGACACAUAAUAAGCAGAAUCAUUCGAAACGCUGGAAACUACAUAAAGCUCAAAUUACUCAUUGAUCGAAAAAACCACUCCGUUUUCUUUGUCAAAGUUGUGUGUGGUAUGAUCAACCUCCUGUACGAAUAACAAACCGUAUAUAAAUACAUACAACAUGCA
rnacentral:lncRNA from 1 species